UACGUAGGGCGCAAGCGUUAUCCGGAAUUAUUGGGCGUAAAGAGCUCGUAGGCGGUUUGUCGCGUCUGCCGUGAAAGUCCGGGGCUCAACUCCGGAUCUGCGGUGGGUACGGGCAGACUAGAGUGAUGUAGGGGAGACUGGAAUUCCUGGUGUGGCGGUGAAAUGCGCAGAUAUCAGGAGGAACACCGAUGGCGAAGGCAGGUCUCUGGGCAUUAACUGACGCUGAGGAGCGAAAGCAUGGGGAGCGAACAGG
rnacentral:rRNA from 1 species